AUCCAACUGACGAGUCGCAAAUAAGACGAAACACACAUUCUGGAU
rfam:Schistosoma haematobium scaffold612_8, whole genome shotgun sequence.